AUGAAAAUCCUCAGUUGGAACUGUCGAGGGCUGGGACAACCUCGUACGGUUCAGGAGCUUGUGUGUCUGACUAAGACGCACCGUCCCAAUGUUAUCUUUCUUUCGGAAACUAGAAAAAUAAAGUAUGUUGAGCUUUUGCGGUACCGGUUGGGUAUGAAUAAUGUGUUUACUGUUUCUGGCCAUGGUAAAGGUGGAGGUCUAGUCGUGUUUUGGGAUGGAGCAUAUUCUUGUGAGCUAAACAAAUAUGGUGAACAUUUUAUGGACAUGUACGUCAACAAGGGUGAUGGUACAAAGUGCAGGUGCACAUUUAUUUAUGGAGAGCCUAAGGCGAGCCAGAGGUAUGUUAUGUGGGAUCUUUUGAGGCGGAUUAAACCUCUUGGUGUUGGACCUUGGUUUAUGGUGGGGGAUUUUAACGAAGCUAUGUGGCAAAAUGAACAUUUCUCUCGACAUAAGAGAUCUCCUAGACUCAUGGCUAACUUUCGUGAAGUUCUGUCGGAGUGCAAUUUAUUUGAUUUGGGCUUUCAAGGUGCUCCGUGGACAUGUAAUAACUAGAAGGAGGGCAACAAGAAUGUUAAGGUACGUCUUGAGUGUGCAGUGGCAUGCCCUCUUUGGUCUUCUAUUUUCCCUCAAUGUAAGGUCUCCCAUAUUAUUAGCUCCAAAUUUGAUCAUUGCCCCAUUUUAAUUGAGUUGAUGGGUAAUGCUCGGGAGGGGAGGUUUGCUAGAGAGUUGAAAUAUGAAUCUUACUGGGAGAGGGAAGGUCGUGUUUUGGAUGAACAGAUUAAUGAUUGUUGGAAUAGAGGAUCAAAUAUAAAGGGUCCGAAAGAUGUUGCUAAUAAUUUAGAAAAAUUAAUGAAAUCUCUUCAUGGAUGGAGUCGGGUGCAUAUUGGGUAUCUGCCUAAGAAACUUGACUGGGCUCGUAAGAGACUAGACAUUUUGUUAAAUAGGACUAAUCAUUCUGCUGUGUUGGAAAGAAAGAAAAUUCUAGGGGAGAUGGAUGAACUUCUUAUCAGGGAAGAAAUAUUGUGGAAGCAGAGAUCUCGUCUGGACAAGAUUAAAGGGGGAUAUCGUAAUACAAAAUAUUUUCAGCGAAAAGCUUCCUGGAGAGCAAAAAAAAUAUUCUAUUUCGGCUCUUAG
rnacentral:rRNA from 1 species